rnacentral:rRNA from 1 species
AUGGCGGCCUUCGACGAGAACGGCACCACUGACCCGCCUCUGGCAGACAGCUAUCGCAAGCUGCUCCGCAGAGACGAGCUCGGCGGCGCGCUAGCGCGGGAGAGCCUGGCCGUGCUGGAGCGCGACCUGCCAAUGAUCGACUUGAAGCGCCUGACGAGCGGCGACGCGAGGGAGAGGGACGUGUGUGCAGACGCCAUGGCGAGCGCGGCGUCGGAGUGGGGCUUCUUCCAGGUGAUCAACCACGGCGUGGGGCGGGAGCUCCUGGAAGAGAUGAGGCGGGAGCAGGCGAUGCUAUUUCACCAGCCGUUCGAUACCAAGGAGAAGGCCGGACUCCUCAACGGCUCGUACCGGUGGGGCAACGCGACCGCGACGUCGCUCCGGCAGCUCUCGUGGUCGGAAGCCUUCCACGUUCCGCUCGCGAGCAUCUCAGAGGAAGACGCAAAGCUCAGCUCCUUGAGGGGAAUGAUGCAGGAGGUGGCGGACGCCAUGUCGCGUGUGGCGGAGACGGUGGCCGGGACGCUGGCGAAGAACCUCGGGCAGGCCGGGUCGACAUUCCCCGCUGCCGCAGGGUGCGACGGGACGACGUGCUUCCUGCGGCUGAACAGGUACCCGGCGUGCCCGUUCGCGCCGGACACGUUCGGCAUGAUGCCGCACACGGACAGCGACUUCCUCACCGUCCUCUGCCAGGACCAGGUUGGAGGCCUAGAGAUCAUGAAGGACUCCCACUGGGUCGCGGUCAAACCCCACGCCGACGCGCUCCUUGUCAACGUCGGCGAUUUGUUCCAGGCAUGGAGCAACAACAUAUACAAGAGCGUGGAGCACAAGGUGUUGGCUAACUCCAAGGCGGAGCGCUUCUCCAUCGCCUACUUCAUGUGUCCAUCGCAUGACUCGCUCAUCGGCACAUGCGGCGGGCCAUCGCCGUACAGGCCGUUUACCUUCGAAGAGUACAGGAGGAAGGUGCAGGAUGACGUCAGGCGAACGGGGAAAAAGAUUGGACUCCCCAACUUUCUCAAACGUUCUACGAUAAGUUGA